UUAAUUAUAGUCCAUGGACAUCACAGAUUAUUUCGGUUACCUUUGCUACACAACUCACAGAUGGAAAAGAAAAUUUCUGACGUCGUAUGGUUCCUAGAGUUUAAACAAACAUCAGUACUUGCAGUGUAACUGACAAGAAGAAAUCAAAAUGAAGGAUGUUAUUGAUGUCAUGCAACUCCAGCGAGAGAAGAGUAGACAAGUCCCAGCCAUGGACUACACAGAAACAGAGAACAAUUUCAUUGCAGUGAGAUUUAUUUUUGAAUGUGGUAUCAAGCUAGAUGCCCAGCCACUAACAAUAGCAACUGCUGCUGUCUUGUAUCACAGGUUCUUUAAGGAAACAGACAGUACUGGUUAUGACAGUUAUCUUAUAGCCGCAACAGCUCUAUACCUGGCAGGCAAAGUAAAGGAUGACCCACUCAAAAUCAGAGAUGUGAUAAAUGUUACUCACAACACUCUUCACAGAGCGUCAGCCCCUCUGGAACUAGGAGAUGAAUACUGGAACAUGCGUGAUGCCAUCGUUCAAGCAGAAUUGCUGAUCAUGAGGAUGCUGAAAUUUGAAGUCACAAUUGUGCAUCCACACAAGUACCAACUGCACUACCUGAAGUCACUGGAAGGUUGGUUUUCAAAAGAGGAGUGGAACAAAAUCCCCCUGGCAAAGGCGUCAUUUGCAUUUCUUCAGGACUUCCAUUUUGAUGCAUCCAUACUUGACUACAGUCCCCAGCAUGUGGCAGUGGCUUGCAUCAAUCUGGCUCUUCAGUGUUAUGGUGUGCAGGUUCCUUAUACGGAUGAAGGAGAUGGUGGUGUAGCUUGGUACUCUAUGCAAUCUCAAAGCUGAGGUCUGCAAUUCAGCCCCAACUUCCACAUUCCUACAUGUUGAUAAUAAAUAUGGAGAAGAUAGAGAAUUGUGUUGUGUUUUUACUGAUGACUUGCAGAAAGAUAAACUGUGGGAGAUAAUGGAGAAGAUCAUGGAAGUGUAUGAUAAGGAGAAGGAUGAAAAAUAACAGCGUGGAGACAUAAACAUGACUAUACUGAAACAAAAUGUAUUC